UACGUAGGGUGCGAGCGUUGUCCGGAAUUACUGGGCGUAAAGAGCUCGUAGGUGGUUUGUCGCGUUGUCCGUGAAAACUCACAACUCAAUUGUGGGCGUGCGGGCGAUACGGGCAGACUGGAGUACUGCAGGGGAGACUGGAAUUUACGGUGUAGCGGUGAAAUGCGUAGAUAUCAGGAGGAACACCAAUGGCGAAGGCAGCUCGCUGGAACGGUACUGACGCUGAGGCGCGAAAGCGUGGGGAGCAAACAGG
rnacentral:rRNA from 1 species